rnacentral:misc_RNA from 1 species
AACGCACAUUGCGCCCAUUAGUAUUCUAGUGGGCAUGCCUGUUCGAGCGUCAUUACAACCCUCAAGCGCUGUAGUGCUUGGUGUUGGGGCAUCUGCUUACACUAGCAGGCCCUGAAAGAUAGUGGCGAGGUCGCUGUGACCCUGAGCGUAGUAGUUUACACCUCGCUUCUGUGGUUCGCGGCGGGUUCUUAGCCGUGAAAACCCCUAAAUUUUCACAAGGUUGACCUCGGAUCAGGUAGGAAUACCCGCUGAACUUAA